rfam:Euryarchaeota archaeon SM23-78 WORSMTZ_18633, whole genome shotgun sequence.
GCCGUAGUCAAGCCCUGAGCGAGGUUGUCUAGGAGGUAGAGCUUCGGAUUGAGGAUUUAGGGCUCGAAAGGGCUCGGUUCUUUGUCCAACUCCGAAGUCCUAGGCACUGUAGACCUCAGGAGACGGCGGCUCGUCGUAAGGGUGAGUCGCGAGAGGGGAACAACCCAGACAGUGGUUAAGGUCCCUAAGUAUUGGUUAAGUGUUAAAGGGUGAAGGUUGUUCAUGACCAAAAACAGCGAGGAGGUUGGCUUAGAAGCAGCCACCCUUUAAAAAGUGCGUAACAGCUUACUCGUCGAGGUUAUGGGCGCUUAAAAUGGACAGGGCUAAACCAAUCACCGAUACCACUGGCACCCGUAAGGGUUGCGGUAGGUAGGCGUCCUGCUAGGUUAGAAGCUUCUUUGAAAAGAGAAGUGGACCUUGCAGGAAUGAGAAUCCUGGUAAUAGUAAGAGCUUAGCACUGUGAGAAUCAGUGCCGCCGAAAGGGCAAGGGUUCCUUGGCAAUGCAGUUCAGCCAAGGGUAAGUUAGUCCUAACUCAACUCAUAACUUGAGUCAGUUGAGGAAAGGGAAACAGGUUAAUAUUCCUGUACCAUAAAGGUAUGUGCGGUAACGCAAGCCUUGCUUCUGACGCUUUUGGUUAGGCUGACAAUCCUCCUCGGAAUUGUUAAUAAGAGCAGGUCAGGGGAGUACUGUAAUGGUGAGAACCUGAGUAACUUUUAGAACAGCGGUGCUUAAGCAUCGUUCAGCUCAUACCUAGAGCCCGUGAAAAGGGAGCAAGGAAAAAUCCUUGAUGUCUAUACCCAGUACCAGCACAGGUGCCCCUGGGUGAGAAGCCCAAGGCGGGAAGGGAUAAUCUGGUUGAGGGAAUUCGGCAAAUUAGCCCUAAGUCUUCGGUCUAAGGGGUCCCUACCUUUGUAUUCGUAUGAGUGCGAUCGUAGGGGGCACUAACAAAGGAGGUCCGACUGUUUAACAAAAACUUAACUGAGUGCGAACCUGUAAAGGUUAGAAUACUCAGUGACGUCUGCCCAGUGCCUGUAUCUCAAACUCCUUUUCAAGGGAGCGAAGGACAGGUAAACGGCGGGAGUAACUAUAACUCUCUUAAGGUAGCGAAAUGCCUUGCCGUUUGAUUGACGGCCUGCAUGAAUGGCGUAACGAGAUCUCCACUGUCCCCAACCAGAACCCUCUGAACAUUCCAUUCUGGUGCAAAGGCCAGAGACUCCCAGUGGGAAGCAAAGACCCCGUGAAACUUUACUGUAACCUGUUAUUGUGGCGUGAGUCUGGGUGUAUAGCGUAAGUAGGAGUUGUUUGAUGCUUGCACGCAAGUGUAAGUUUAGACGUCAAUGUAACACUACUCAUUUAGUUUUGCGUUGCUUAUCUGCUCUUUUUGAGUUGAGACACUAAUAGGCAGACAGUUUGGCUGGGGUGGCACGCUGCUGAAAAGAUAUGAGUUUUAGAUAUAUCUCUUUGCUCGCUUUAUAUCAGUAGCGCCCUAAGGUUGGCUCAGUCGGGUCAGAAACCGUUGACGAAGGCAAGGUGCCAGCGUCAUCGCUGAGCAUCCGAUGUUGAGUGCAAGGGCAAAAGCUAGCCUGACUGGGAUUCAAACAUGAAAAAUCUCAGAAACGAAAGUUAGGCCUAGCGAACCCCCGUACCUCCUUGAAUGGGGGACGGGUAUGACCGAAAAGUUACUCCGGGGAUAACAGAGUUGUCGCGCCCGAGAGCUCCUAUCGACGGCGCGGUUUGCUACAUCGAUGUCGGCUCUUCCUAUCCUGGCCGUGCAGAAUAACCUUUUUGGAAAAGGUUACCAAAAAUCAACAUUUUUGGGAACCCCCAGAAAUGCUAUGCAUUUCUGAUGGGUUAACGAAAAUAAGGCGACUCCUAGCUAAAAACAGCCGGAGUCCCCUGUAGUCAAAAACCUUGCAAAUAGGUACUGUAUGCGGCCAAGGGUGAGGGUGUUCACCUAUCAAAAGGGAUCGUGAGCUGGGUUCAGAACGCUGCGAGGCAGUUUGUUUGAUAUCUACUGGGAGUGUUGAGUGUCUGAGAGGAAGGACCCUUUAGUACGAGAGGAACGAGGGUUCGAAGCCACUGGUCGACCGGUUAUCCGACAGGGUAGGCCGGGCAGCUACGCUUUAAUGGAUAAGUGCUGAAAGCAUCUAAGCACGAAGCCAUCCUUGAAAAGAGACGCUCAUGGACGCCCAUAGAAGAUGGGGUUGAUAGAGCUGGUGUGUAAGCACCAAGGCAACGAGGUGUUCAGCAUGCAGCUACUAAUAAGUCCAACUCUCAUUUAAU